rnacentral:misc_RNA from 1 species
AAUUUUAGGGUUUGAAGCCGAAUAAUUUCCCACACAGACCAAUCAGAAUAAUCAAAGAGAAGUUUGGAUUUGACGUGGCGUCACGUGAUUGGAUCGUUUCAAGAGUAACUGUUUUUGACUGUGAAGUAAAUAUUCGAUGAGGAAGAAAAAAAAGGGCUGAGGAGGCUGAACAAAAGUGUGGCCCACAGUCCUACAUUAUAAUAUCAUAUUAUAUUUUAUAAUAUAAUGUUGUUGUUACUCUUCUUAUUAUUAAUGUUAGCAUUUAGCAAGCAUUUUUAU